rnacentral:tRNA from 1 species
GCAUCCAUAGCUCAGUUGGAUAGAGUUACAGACUUCGAAUCUGGGGGCCGGGAGUUCAAGUCUCCCUGGGUGCA